rnacentral:misc_RNA from 1 species
CUGUUUAACAUGGAUUUAUUUAUAUAUUUUGCACAGAUAAAAUUGCCAAAUACAAGAUGGUGAUAAAAACUGAAAAAUCUACAGCCAUUUGAAUGGUGUCAGUAAACAUCUUACAAAUGUGCAGUGCAAAAAAAGAUAGAAAAUGUGAGUCACUUCCAAGUUCCAACUAAUAGUCCAUACAAAACAACUACUGCUGUCAUGCCUAAUUGUUUGUGCUUAAAUGCUUUUUAAUAACUUCAUUUCUGUUAAGGUCAAACAUGACAACAAUUCCCAUAUAACAGUGUUUUU